AUGAGGUUUGGUGCACUGCUUUGGCUCUUUAUAGGGUCUUCAUGUGGGAUGACCACUCAGAUACCGGAGACAACACCAACAACAGAGACUGAAAUAACUACAACCAUCGACCAAGACCAAGGAAGUGGUUUGUUGGAAGUGGAGCAGGAAGAGGAGCUGGGGGACACGUACUGGUCUGGGACAGCGCCUCUGUGUUUCGGGGGCUGCAGGGGGCGACACAGGGAGCUGAAGAAGGACAGCUGUGGAGAUUCAAGCUGCUGCUGGGUGGGCUACAAGUCUCUUUGCAGGGUUAACUGUGGCCCGCCAGACGUGGACUUUAAUGGGGUGGUGUUUGGUAAUGACUGGUGGGUGGGCUCCGUGGUGAGAUACGAGUGCAGGCCAGGCUUUGUGCUGGUGGGGGACCCAGCACGGGCCUGCCAGUCUAAUGGGAAAUGGACUCCGAAGCCGUCCUGCCUCAGAGUGUGUCGGCGUGGUCGGGUGGAGUUAAGUGAGAAGGAAAUUGAUGGAGCGUGUACCUCCACCUGCCCACCCAAGAACUACUCCGGCUCUGGCUCCCAGAGCCACGGCUGCAAUCGCAUCGAUAACUGCAAGACCAAAGAGGCGAACUGGAAAAGCUGGUUUACAGGCUGUGCUUACUGCGAGUGUGACUGCUAUAUACCCUGUGUUUCAGCAUCACCAGGGUAGAAGAUUUUCUCUUUCUCCCUCUCUGUGAUUUGGACAUUCUGAGCAGCGAUGGAUAAUCACGUCUUCACAAGGCAUCGGAAAUCAGCCCUUUCCUGGAUUAUUCUGUUUGAAACUUCCCAAUUCAAAUCAAAGGCUGUUUAAAUCAAAGAAGGUUAUUCACAAAAAGUCUUCUUUCUUUUCAGAAGAAACAUUCUUAUCAGCUUGUGUGGUGAUACAAAAAAAGAUAUCCAUAUUGGACCUAUUUGAUUGACCACUGACCACAUCCAGCCAUUCUGAACGAUUGUUUCUCAGUCUGCACUGAUGUGUUUGAAGGCGGGUGUUUGAAGAAGCCCCCCUGCUGUAUUCACGUUUCAGCAGGGAUUAAAGUCAAUGACCUGGACAGUCUGCUCUAGUCUGAGCUCAGUAUGAACCUGAGGACUUAAUCUUGUUACCAGCCAACACAGGAGACUGUCUCUGUGAACUCUGUGCUGCUUCACUUUUUCACGACUACAUACUACUACGCGUGGCACCAGAAGCCCUGGACUAGAUAUUAUCAGCAUUGAUAGGAGUGUGUCAGCCCUAAUACAAUACUUCGCUGAGAUACACUGUGUGGACAAAAGUAUUGAGACACCUGCUUAUGCAUUGUUUCUUGCAAUAUUAUGGACAUUAACUACUUCAAAAUUCACUUCUGCAAACUUUGAGGCUCUGUUUAGGUUAGAAUAUUGUUGCUGAUUAGUCAAAAACAAAUAUUAAAGUUUUUGCAAUUUCUUUGGGGAUCAGUAAAGUUCUAUCUGUCUGUCUAUCUUUCUGUCUGUCUUGUCCAUGUUUAUAUUACUGAGACUGUCCUUCACACCGUGUAGAAAUGUAAUGAUGAAGAGAACAUUUUUACAAUUACUAUUUUUGCAUUAACUUUGAUUAAAAGUAAUGUUUCCUGUACAGUUUUCUUAAGGCAAUCAUAUAUUUUUUGGUGGUUCAUAUUUUGGUCCCAAUCUCAUCACAUCCUGGCUCUAAUUAGCUUUAAGAAAAGUCAUUAGCCUAGGGCAGAGGUGUCCAAACUAUGGCCCGCGGGCCACUUGCGGCUCGUUUCCUAUUUUGGAGCGGCCCCCGAGGUAUUUUAGAAAUAGAAUGAAAGUUGGCCCGCUGUUAAGCAGGUUUUUAUAAUGUGAGAUUCAAAGUUUGAACGCUAGGUGUCAGAAAAGGGCCAAAGAGUCUAAAAGCGGCGAGAAUGAGCAGUUGUAGCGCAGAAAAAUGGGCCAAAGAGUCUAAAAGGGGCGAGAGUGUUCAGUUGUAGCGCAGAAAAACGGGCCAAAGAGUCAAAAAGUGGAGAGGGUGCUCAGUUGUAGCACAGAAAAACAGUGCAAAGAGUCUAAAAGGGGCGAGAGUGUUCAGUUGCAGUGCAGAAAAACGGGCCAAAGAGUCUAAAAGUUGCCGUAAUUAAGGAGUUUAAUAUUAAGAGUCAUCAUGGAAGGAAACAUCAAUUUGAAAAAUCUUAGUUUACACAACACUGUCAAAGAUAGAUAAAAAGAUAGUUAGUCAAGUAAAAUGGUGUGUAUGUCACCGGGGAAAGGACGCACACCAAAUGACAAAAUACGUUUUUUUCGGGUAUUUUAUUCUGAUUAAAUUGUACUCAAAUCAAUAAAAAUAAAAGGAAUACACUGUAAAACCCUAGC
rnacentral:lncRNA from 1 species